rnacentral:rRNA from 1 species
AUUGAACGCUGGCGGCAUGCUUUACACAUGCAAGUCGAACGGUAACAGGUCUUCGGAUGCUGACGAGUGGCGAACGGGUGAGUAAUGCAUCGGAACGUGCCCAGUCGUGGGGGAUAACGCAGCGAAAGCUGUGCUAAUACCGCAUACGAUCUAUGGAUGAAAGCGGGGGAUCGCAAGACCUCGCGCGAUUGGAGCGGCCGAUGUCAGAUUAGCUAGUGGUGGGGUAAUGGCUCACCAAGCCGACGAUCCGUAGCUGGUCUGAGAGGAUGACCAGCCAGACUGGAACUGAGACACGGUCCAGACUCCUACGGGAGGCAGCAGUGAGGAAUC